AGCGGUAGUCCGCAAGCAACGCGAUCCACCCGUCGUCGGCCCCCUACCCUAUGCCCAUCGCCAGUCUGCCGCAAGCGAGCGGCAUCCAUCCGAUCGACGGAUUCGUCGAUUUAGUGGUAGUCCGCAACACUCGCGAAUUCCCAGUCGUCCCGCAACGCCGCCGCCCUCGCAAUCCCCCAACCAUCCCACGGCGCCUUCCCACCGCGCCGCCGCUGCGGUCGACCCGCAGCCGCGCCACCGCCGUAGCGCCGUCCCACUCCUCCGCGCCGUCCCCGCCCCAUCACGCCAUCAUCCCACCGUCCCGCCGCCGCGAGGUUCCCCAUUUGCCUCCGCAAGGGGUCCCGGUGGGUCCUCGAUGGCGAUUGGCGACAACGUCGAGCAAGAGGACGGGCACACCUCCCACCUAAGGAAGGAGCCCCUGCAGCCGUCUACCAGCGCCAACGAUGUCCACCCGUCCGCUGCCGCCGCCGCUGCCCUCCACCUUGAGGGGUGCCCCUGUUCGCCGCCGCGAGGGGGUCCCGUCCGCCCGCGCGAGGAAGCAGGUCCGGCCGCGGCUUGUAGUCUUGUGGAGGACGGGCACACCUCUAUGGCUCUAUCUCGAGCAAGGAGGCCCUGCCGCCAUCCACCUACACCAAAGGUCGCCGCGUUUCAAGCCGAGUUUUGCAGGAGCUGUAGUUGAGCAUCCUCUGUCAGACGACGUGUGUAUCCAUGUGGCAUGCAUGGAGCAAACUCAAAUUACCACCAGCUCUGUCCAGACGAGCUUUGCAUCAGGUUAGUGUGGAAUGUAUAAAUUUUUGGGCUCUGGAAUUUAUGUACAUCCUUUAUGCCUUCGUGGACCACGUGGUGGGGCUUGAUGUGAAAAAAAACAUCUAAUCUGUUUCACCUGAGCAGUCAGCUUUUCGCAUUGGUUGUUUACAUACUGAGCAUUUGGAGCUAUGAGAUAACUUUGUAAUUUAAGCACACUUUUUCAAUCUAACCUAUAAACCACAGUAGUGUACUGCAUGUUUGUGAAUAGUAAUUGCCUCAUCGGUGCUUGAUUAAUAUUACCAUGUUUCAUAUCCAAUGUCAUUUGAAAACAUUGUGGUUGUGAAUUGUUGGGGGCCUGGUGUGAUUAUCUAAUAUGUGAUUAUACCUUUGAUUGCUGAGGUAUUGAGCUUCGGAGCUAGCAGUUGGAGGCUGCUCAAAUUUUGUUGCCAGGUAUGAUGACAUUGAUGAACUUUUAUGAUUUCUAGCAAUAGAUACUUUUAGUCAUGCUAUUUUUGGGGAGUAAAAAAUUAAAGUUGUAGUUGGUUGUCUGGUUCAUGUCAUGGUGAUAAGAGAUUGUAGUUGCUGUACUGUCUGAUGAUUUCAGUGAAUCAUGACAAAUUUGGUCUUUUUACUGAUUUUAAUUGUAAAAAAAAAUGAUGUGUAAAACCCUGAUGCAUUGAACUUGGAAUGCAUGUUCUAAUAGUUUUGAAGUUGACAUUGGCUGGGACAUGUUGCAACACAAAUUCGGAAAGCAUGUAUUAUUUGGUGGCUUGUAGGGUGGGCAAUAUGCUAUGCUCAUACUCACAAGUCCAAAUUAGUUAGAUCUAAACUGAUGUAUAAUAUGAAUAUUUUGUUGGACACAAUAUUUUUGAAUAUGAGAUUUGGACCCAAACCUAGAUUCUCUUAUCUGCAGUUAUGUCGAUCGGUUUAUGUACCUAACAAAACUCCUGGUGUUGCCAUUAAACUAAGUUUGCACGGACAUAUAAACAUCAAAAUAAUUAAUGCUCAUCGAUUAGUAAAUAAACCAUGCUGCGCAAUGAGACACGUUAGUAUUUUAUAAAAGAACCAUGCUGAGCAAUUCGGGAACUACGUCUUUGAAUCAAGCAUUCUAGAUUGUUAGUGUUCAGAUUGGAAUCUUUUUGCACUAUGAGUGCUAUUUGUAAUGCAUUAUAAAUUUUUUUCAGCCCGCAGCAACGCACAGGCACGAACCUAGUAGAUAUAGAUUCUCUGUUAUACUACUAAAAAGAGGCUAAGUAAGACUUUUUUUUUCGUUCGUCAUUUGCCGCUCCCAACCUUCGUUUCGUCUGCCCAAUCGGCACCCCUUCGUUUUGUAAGCCCCUCCCUCACGCGAUGUCCCGCUGUCGACAAAACCAAUCGCGCGAUCUUUCCGUUGUGGUAGAGGUGGCUGCAUUGGCGGUGGGGGGCUAGGCUUCUCGUCCUCGAUCUGCAUCGGUGGUGGGGUGCUCGGCUUCUUGUCCUCGAUCUGCUGGUGAUGGCGCUUUUUCAUCAUCACCAAUUCGCCAUCUUAUAACGACACGAGCUGCAAGUAACCACGGGGCAUCCUUUGUGGCUCUGCAGCUUCACGUUGCAAUACAGUAGAUUGGUGGUGGAAGAGUAGAGGCUUAAUCUAACUAAACUGCAUAGUUGAACCUUUUUGUUCAGGCUGGUAGAGAGGGCACAUUGCACUUGUGUUGAGUAAGUAGAAGCUAUUUGCACACCAUAAAUUCUGAAGACCACAAAUGAAUUCUGAAUUCUGGUGGUUCUUCUAUCCCGCCGUUAUCUUCACCGAGCGGUGUGUCUCGGUACUCUUCAUAUGGUGGAUAUCAGGGUACAAGCAAAAAGAUUGAAAUAUGAAAUGGAAGGGUUGGUGUUAUUAUCGGAAAAGCUGGGGAAACUAUCAGGUAUCUCCAACUUCAGUCAGGAGAAAAGAUUCAAGUAACAAGAGACAAUGAAGCUGAACCAGGUGCACAGACAAGACCAGUUGAGCUUUCAGGCACUCGUGAGCAGAUAAGCAAAGCUGAGCAGCUGAUCAAAGAAGUUCUGGCAGAGGUAUUACUUGUUACAACCACAUCUUUUGUUCUGCAUUUCUUUUUGCAUAUAUGCUGUUGAUCUUGCAAUCUUCUGCGGGCUGAUGCUGGGCCAUCUGGUACUGGAUCUGGUGGCCGGAAAUAUAAUGCACCACAGCCAGGUGCCGACAUGUUCUAGAUGAAAAUUGCUAAUAACAAGGUGGGUCUGGUUAUUGGUAAGGGUGGUGAGACUAUAAAGUCCAUGCAAGCCAAAUCUGGAGCUCGUAUUCAGAUUUGUUAUCUUGUUCUACAGCAUAUUGGCAGCUGGUGAUUGAGGUUACCAAUGUCUGAAGCAUAUUGGCCGUGGGUACAGCCUCGGCAUGGCUAUGGCAUGGAAGGAGAUUUUCAUGUGCCUUUCCUGUUUCUGAACAUAACUUCAUAAUAGGUUUUGGGCAAGGUUUAAGACUUAAAUAUACCAUAACAUGAAUAAACGUAUUUCCAAACUGCUUCAUUCUUCAUAUAUUAGCAACUUUGUUCAGCCCAUUGUAUGGCUCUUCACAGAACAGCAGUUCAAGCUUUGAGAAGUCAUUCUUUGUAAUUCAUAUCGUUCAUUUCACAUGAGGUGAUGUUCUUGUUUCGGGCAACAUCUGUAAAAAGUGACUACUCCAUGUUGUCACCUGUUCUAUUCAGUGGGUGUUUAUUUA